GGGCCUUUCCUCCUUGAAU
rnacentral:misc_RNA from 1 species